AUAAAAUAUAGUUACGGAGGCCAGAGAAGAAAAACCAGUUGCCUAUCAAAGAGAUGGGCUGAAGUUUGCCCCAGAAGUGUUUGAACAGCGCCAUUGCACCAUCUUGAGAUAGAAAGAUAAAAGUUCAUACUGUUUUAUCUCCUCCUCCUCUCCCUGAUAAAGAGCAACAUCGAGGAAAGCCUUUUAUUCCAAUGGAGGGUUUUACUGAACCAAAUCGUUUGAAUAAAUCACCUGCAUUGUCAAGGUUGCAGAUGAUCUGCUUCAGAAUAAUAUCCUUGCAAAGCAAUUUAAUACUACUUCCGUUCACUUAACCGAAGAACAACAAGGAGAUUUGCAUCAAAACCUACAGGAAAUGCUGCAGACAAUCAGCUGAGACCUUCUAAACACUCAUUACUAUUUUCUGACAGACCUCAGCAAGAAAUCCAUUUCAUGAUCUCAGAAAAAAAGGAUGUGCUGUGAAUCUUUUCCUUUCUACCUUUUAAUUUUGUAACGGGAAACUUCUAUUUUCUCAGCAUGUGUGACAUUUUAUAAGGAGUGCUUUAUUAAAAUUGCCUUUAUGUUUUUUUAAAAAUUAUCAUGACCAUAUUAAGUGCUAUACUAAUGAAAAUUAUAAUUCUAACAGAAACAUAGUUAUAUCCUUCCUACUGCUCCUUCAAAUUAUUAUCCUUUGUUAGGGUAAAACAAGAGUAUUUACUCUAGUGAUUUUGACUGCUUUAGUUUGUGGGAUAGCAUUCUACUGGACAUCCUCAGAAUUAAUUGUGAAACUUGUGGAUUUACAAUUUCUAUUAAUACAAUACUAUAUUAUUAAUAAGAGCUGAAAUAAGUAUAAUUAAUAAGGGCAGAAAUUAACUAUAGCAUAAAACAGGAAAGUAUUAAAUCUCGUAAAAUGACAGAUUGGUGUAGGAAAAUAUUAGAAUUAACCUUGUAACAUUAACUUAUUUAUUGAGGUUAACACAACUCUUUUAAUGGUAAAUUUAUAUACAAUGCAUAUUAUUUAGCAAGUGAAAGGUACAUUUCAGUACAGAAUCCAGUUACAGUUUUGUUUUAUAUGUGCUCCUAUUAGUCUUUGCUGUAACUUUUUUCUAAAUAUAUCUUUAUUUCACUAUUCCUUAUGAAGGAAAAGUAAAUAAUAGGAUACUGUACAAUGUUAAGCCUCAGAAUGAAAUUUAUUUUUAUACAGACUACCAGGGAAUAUAUCUACACUUACAUUAAGCUGUAUGCUACCAUUAUCAUAGCAAUUUCUGGACAUUUCUGUUAUUUCUGUUAUUAAGAGCCUUGGUGGCGCAGCAGACUAAAGUGCUGUUAAGUAGCACCAGCUGCCUGCAAUUACUGCAAGUUCAAAUCUCACCAGGCUCAAGGUUGACUCAGCCUUCCAUGCUUUUGAGGUAGGUAAAAUGAGGACCCAGAUUGUGGGGGCAAUAAGCUGACUUUGUAUAAAAAAUAACACCGCUUAGCGGGGGCCAAAAGCCCUACUAAGCAGGUAUAUACAAAAGUAUGAAGGCUAUUGCUUAAUGCAUUGUAAGCCACCCUGAGUCUUCGGAGAAGGGCGGCAUAUAAAUUGAACCAAUAAAUAAAUAAAUAAAUAAAUAAAUUUUUUUAUAAUCUUGUAUGAACAAUUGAGCUUUGGACGGAAUCCCUUCUGGAUAUACUAAAAUGGUUUAAAAUCCUAGUUUUAACACAGCUGCCAAGAAAGAAAAAGUGCUAUAAAUCCAUAUAUUUUGAAAUAAAUGUAAGGAAAGAGAGCAUUUUUCUAAUAUAAGUUAAAAUUAUGACAGCUGAGCCUACAGUACAAAUAAUGGAAGUAUGAAAUAUAAAAUAUUAGAAAUUCCUAAGCGUGUGACAGAAUUAUUCUCUUGGUCUGUGGUUCACUCACUAUACAUCUCCAAACUGGUUUUUGUUCCUGAUUCUCAGUUUGUAGAGCUCUUUUAUUAUUUUUCUGUCAUUUUUAUUUAUUAUGAUUUUUUACUGCUAAGAUUACUGCAUUUACGAUUAGCAAAAUAAAAUUAUAUUGUAGAACUGG